UCCUGGGAGGGAGUGGUGCUGGAUAGCUGCAAUGCCCGGUGCUGGAGGUGGGAUCAAGGAGAAUAUAUCCCAGGCGUCCCCAGCAGGGAGCUGAGCCAGGUGCUGCUGGGGUGGGGCGGGAGUAGUGAAAAGGUGGUGGCACCCAGGUCAGCAUCCCAGCACAUGCGGGACAGCUGGUCUCCAUCAGAGCAGGUGGGCUGGGAAAGGUGACCCUAUAAAAAUGGCAGAAGUAGAAACCAAGCAACAGGUAGCAAAGGAAAGGUGAUGGUGGAAGGGCCCCAUGCUUGCUCUGCUCUCCCUCCCCAAGCCUGGCUGUGGGUAAUGUGAUGCUGAACAGUGAGAAGGCAGCGCUGACAGCCCCAGAGGAAAGGAGGAGGGCUGCUUAUUGGAGGGCAAUCCACUGAUGGCAGCUAAACACUUCGUUGUUAUCACCUGGAAACAAUGGUGCUCUCCGCUGUCCCUGCGAGCUGCAGCCGGUUGGAAAGCAACCUCCAUGCUCCUAUCCCCUGCUGGGGUGCGGGCAGGUCACGUCACGCCGCGGUGCUGCACGAUAAGAUCCAAACGCAGCCGUGCUCCACAGAACCUGCUCCACCCGCCAGGUGAUGGAUGCUGCUCCCUGCCCAUGAAUCACGCUCAUGGUUGUGUAAGGUUUAUGCUGUAUUUCUGAGGCCCUUCUAAAGUUCUGCACAAUUUAUAUGCACCACUCCUGCGUUGAGCCAUUCAUGCUCCUCCUUCGAGGCACUGGGAUUUACUCUACCCUCACCGCAGCCUGGGGAAAUUGCUCCUCUGAUGGAACGAUCUCAGGGCUGUGGCACUAUUUAUUGCUAUCAGAAACAAUCCCACCACGUAGCGACUUCUGACCAUGAAAAAGGGGAAAGCGCUGCAUUCUCUCCAACACCAAUUCCCAUGAAUCUUUAAACAGAAGGAAGUGUUUCCCCGACCAGCGAGCGCUUGUGAAGACGUUUAACUCUAAGAAUAUGUGACAGCUCAUCAGAGGAGGAAGAGAAAUGGGUUUGGGGAUAUGGAGGGAGCGGCAGGCACUUCGGGAGUCCAGGCAGGGCAAUUGGCCCCAGGGCUCUGGCUCCCAUUGGGGUCCCCAUCUCCAUCUUGGGGUCCCUGGCCCCAGCACCCCGGAGAGCUCCACACUGUGCCCUGCCCAGGUUGGAGCCUUGCUGGCGACUUCGAGGCAGAGCUCUGGCACCGAAUUACCUGUCUAGCUGGGAUCUUAUCUCAGCGUUUAUCACUGCCGCCUCUUGCUGUCAGCACUGUUUAUAGACAGGGGAACCGAAACCCUACGCUAAGAAAUUUCCUCCUCCUCCUCUUUUCUUUCAAAUCUGCAUCUGUUUCAGACUCCCUUUCAUUAGAGACCACAUGAAAGCCAAAACAAUCCCAGGCUAUCAGACACAGAAACCUUUGCAAGGUAACCUCCUCUCUGCAUGCACUGGGGUAAAUAAGGCACGCCCUGGCCAGGGGGGUUGUUUGGGUCCUGUCCCCCUUGUGUGGGUGCCCAUGAGAUCUCCUUCACCCCCAGGGCUGUGUGCAGGGUCAGGGAUGCAGGGUGUGAAGGAUCUCGAGGUCACCAUCCCACGUGUCCCACUUGUUGCCUGGUUGGUGCCCAACCCCUGGGAGGCUUUGGGGCAUGGGGCAUGUACUUGGUGCAUUUUUACCUCUUGUAAAACAUUUGUGAAGUUACUCUGCUAAGAGUGGGGAGGGAGGAAAGGGGCUGAUAGCGAUUAGGCAGGAAAUGGCUCAGCGUGGAUGGCAUCCAUAUGGGGGAGCUGAGAGAUUUGGCGUCUCGCAGGCACCGCUUGAUGGAUCCACUGAUAACCUGGCAGCAGAACAGACCUGGGCUCUCUGAUUCCCUGCCAGCGGCUCCACCAAAGCCAGCUGGGUCGGCCUUCGUUAACACCUUUCUGGGCUGGGAACCCGCUGAGAUGCGUAACGAUGGCCAUAAAGCUGCCUGAGGUUACGGCCCAUUCGAAGGCCGAAAUACUGUCCCCAAAAGCCCCAUGGGUUGCUGGCUGGGUUAGAUGCAGGGCAAGCUGUGUGCUACAUUGGGCUCGGGUCUGUAAUUUCCCUGUGGUUACUUCCAAGAUAACAUAUUUCAGCUUUUUAUGAUGCUUACAAAUUGAGCAACAUCUUAAAAACAUAAUUCAGGCUCCAACGAGUUUCUAACGUGAGUGUUUUUACAGGGAAGCAUCAAAUAUUUUCAAGUGUUGGUAAAUUUUUGGGAUGGGAAAUGGGGCUGGGAGACAAGGGAGGCAUGGUCCUGGCCCCAAAAGGCUUUGAGGGCUCUCCUCCCAAAUGACUUUUCCCAGCUCCUCCUGGGGCCAUCCCAUCUCCUCAGGACACCAGUGUCCCGCACCAGGGUGGAAGAGGAGUGUGGGGCUGGAGCUGCUGGCGUGCCAUAAGGAAGCGAUUGAAGCUUUCACAAUCUGUUUAACCAGUGACAUAUGUUUCCUGCAGGCACGGCGGUGUGCUGCAUGCUGAGGUACGGCCACGCAUCCCCGCCAGUCUCUGCGUGCUGAUUCCAUUGGGCUGCCCGGGGCGGGGGGGAGGGACACACCAAGAAAAGCCCCCAGGGAGGCAAACCUAUCUCAGAACAUCGUGUCCUCACUGGGGUGGGGACAGCUGGAGACCAGGUGGCUGGGAGCGCUGGGGAUGCUGUGAGCUGGGCAGGCUGGACUGAGCCCUACAGCAGCAGGUACCACCUGGAGGUGACACUGUCUUCCGGUCCAAGCAGUGGCUCGCAACCCAUCUUGGGCAGGGAGUGACCCAUGGAGCUGCUCACCUUCCCCUGUCCCAGCUGGAUGAUCAGGGCUGGCAAAGCCAUCCUGAAGUGCCCCAGCUCCAGGUGUUCUGCGUGCUUUGCUCAAACCCCCCAACCCCACUGUGCAGCUGGUGAGUGCAGCCAUGGCAGUGGGUCCUCUCCAACCCCAAGGACAGGUCCUGAUAGGAAGACCAGGACACAGCGAUGUCACGCCCCGAGGCAUGUUGGGUUUUUUCUGCCAUUUUUUUCAUCAUUUUGAGGCAGGAGUCAUAAAUGCUAAAGAUGCGCACGGAAUUUGAAUAUGAAUGAUAAGAACAGCUGUGUAUAUCUAUUAUGAACGAAUAUAAACAGAAACGUAUAAACUGAGAUUCUGGGGGCUUUGGGAAGAAUUAGUGCCUUUGUUCCUGGAUUUUUUUCCUAUCAGAGUUUGAACCAAAGCCCAUUAGCCCGGACUUUCCCGCAGCCGCCCCAGCCAGGAGCUUCAUUUCGUGCUGGCUCCGAGCCAUGCUGAAUUCUCCUCAACAGCUCAGUGAGCCCUAAUCCUAACAAAUUUACCCAGAGAAGUGGUUCUCUUAUUACACUGCCUAAUUUGAACGCUUUCCAAGGUUAAUUUCUGCUCCCUCUCCCUCUGAAUGCGCCUGCCCCCCCGUUCCCCGUUAGCACCAGCCCGGGGGGAGCAGCCCCAGAACUUCCCCUCCCGGCCACGAUUGGUUUUAAAUGAGAAAAUAAUGCGAUGUUCGUCCCCGGGUGCGGGGUCUGCCCGCGGGGUUUCCUAAUGCUAAGCCACUUCCUUUGCAAAUUAAUUGCAACUUUUGCUGGGCGAAAAUAGCCCUGGAAGCCCGCUCCCCACGGAUUCUUCCUUGUGUAACACUACUCUGUUUGUAAUCUGAUUGCUGUGACUCUCGUUUCUUCUCCUCUC